AAUGAACGUUGGCGGCGUGGAUUAGGCAUGCAAGUCGAGCGCUCAUCAGCAAUGGUGGGAGCGGCGAACGGCGUAGUAAUGCAUCGGAACGUACCCUCUGGACGGGGAUAGCCACGGGAAACUGUGGGUAAUACCCGAUAAUCUCUGCGGAGCAAAGGUGUGAUUCCGCCGGAGGAGCGGCUGAUGUGAUAUUAGCUAGUUGGUGGGUAAAGGCCUACCAAGGCGAUGAUGUCUAGGGGGUGUGAGAGCAUGGCCCCCCACGACCGGAACUGAGAUACUGUCCGGACACCUACGGGUGGCUGCAGUCGAGAAUCUUCCGCAAUGGACGAAAGUCUGACGGAGCGACGCCGCGUGCGGGAUGAAGGCCCUUGGGUUGUAAACCGCUGUCAGAGGGGAUGAAAUCGUCGGGGGUACUCCCCCGAUGUUGACAGAGCCUCAAAGGAAGCACGGGCUAAGUACGUGCCAGCAGCCGCGGUAAUGUCUAGC
rnacentral:rRNA from 1 species